GGAUAGUUUAUCAUGAACUAUCAUAUAAAUAAGAUUGAUAGCAUUUUGUCCGAGUUGUUGAAUAUAUCGGUGACAGCUAAGGGCAUCUUAAAAAGUUUAAGGGGAACGAUUCUUACUGUGGAGCAGGCUUCUUUCAAGAGAAAGUCUACUAGAAAGAAAAAGAAUAAAAAAUCUGUGAACAAGCAAAAGAUCGAGAGCGGAAAGAAGAAGAAAGCUCC
rnacentral:lncRNA from 1 species